UAAUCAUUUGUCCCUUAAAUGGGGACCUGUAUGAAUGGCAUCACGAGGGUUUAACUGUCUCCUUCCCCCAGUCAAUGAAAUUGAUCUGCCCGUGCAGAAGCGGACAUAAAAUCAUAAGACGAGAAGACCCUAUGGAGCUUUAGGUAAAAGAUCAGACAUGUAAAGAAAACUUAUUAACUCCCAAGGAAACAGAAAGUUUUUAAACCUAAUGUAAAAAUGAUCCACAUACCUUCGGUUGGGGCGACCGCGGGGGAAAAUAAAGCCCCCACAUGGAAUAGAAAACAUCUUCCAAACCAAGAACCACAAUUCUAAGCAACAGAACAUCUGACCACUAAUGAUCCGGGAUAAAUAAUUUAAGCCCGAUCAAUGAACCAAGUUACCCUAGGGAUAACAGCGCAAUCCUCUCCCAGAGCCCA
rnacentral:rRNA from 1 species